rnacentral:rRNA from 1 species
UACAGAGGGUGCAAGCGUUAAUCGGAAUUACUGGGCGUAAAGCGUGCGUAGGUGGUUGACUAAGUCAGGUGUGAAAGCCCCGGGCUUAACCUGGGAAUUGCAUUUGAUACUGGUCAGCUAGAGUUUGGUAGAGGGAAGUGGAAUUCCAGGUGUAGCGGUGAAGUGCGUAGAUAUCUGGAGGAACACCAGUGGCGAAGGCGGCUUCCUGGACUAAAACUGACACUGAGGCACGAAAGCGUGGGGAGCAAACAGG